GAGGCAGGUAGCCUAGUGGUUAGAGGAGGCAGGUAGCCUGGUGGUUAGAGGAGGCAGGUAGCCUAGUGGUUAGAGGAGGCAGGUAGCCUAGUGGUUAGAGGAGGCAGGUAGCCUGGUGGUUAGAGGAGGCAGGUAGCCUAGUGGUUAGAGGAGGCAGGUAGCCUAGUGGUUAGAGGAGGCAGGUAGCCUAGUGGUUAGAGGAGGCAGGUAGCCUAGUGGUUAGAGGAGGCAGGUAGCCUAGUGGUUAGAGGAGGCAGGUAGCCUAGUGGUUAGAGGAGGCAGGUAGCCUAGUGGUUAGAGGAGGCAGGUAGCCUAGUGGUUAGAGGAGGCAGGUAGCCUAGUGGUUAGAGGAGGCAGGUAGCCUAGUGGUUAGAGGAGGCAGGUAGCCUAGUGGUUAGAGGAGGGAGGUAGCCUAGUGGUUAGAGGAGGGAGGUAGCCUAGUGGUUAGAGGAGGCAGGUAGCCUAGUGGUUAGAGGAGGGAGGUAGCCUAGUGGUUAGAGGAGGGAGGUAGCCUAGUGCUUAGAGCAUUGGACUAGUAACCGAAAGGUUGCAAAUCUGAAAGGUACAAAAGGUACAAAUCUGUCAUUCUGCCCCUAAACAAGGCAGUUAACCCACUGUUCCUAGGCCAUCACUGACUUGCCUAGUUAAAUAAAGGUAAAUAGGCAAGGGGAGAUCUUUUUUGUGCCCGGUAAAAUAAAUUAUGCAAGAAAUGCUAGUGGAACAAAUAUUGAUAAAGGCUAAUAACCAUCAUAUGGAACUCAACAUGGAGUCACGCUGUGACGUGGUGUCUGGUCCUCCCGCUACGACUCAGGAUAACAUGCAGUUUAAUUAGGCUACAGAUUAAAUAAACGAUGAUGGACUUCACAGGAUGGUGAAAGUGAAAAUGUGAUGAGUUUGAUGCUCCUUUCCAAUAAAUAUCGAGGGUCUUAUUCCGGUGACAUGAUGAUCGAUGCUUGUCUGCAGUUUGAUACAUUUUGUCAUAAUAAUCUUAUAAUUAUCUAGGUUCCCAUCCAAUUGGCGACACAUUUUCAUAAGAAUAUUCUAGAAUCCGGAUAGAGAAAAUACGCGCAUUUUCCCCACGGUCGCAACUUCCACCAAACUGACUCCUUGCAGAUAAAAAAGUAGUGCGUGAUGACGUAAAGCAUACAACAAUUUUACUUUUUCUCUGUCACGUUUAGUCCCGCUCUCCCCUUC